CUCGAUCCUCGAUGUAAUCUCGACUCCACGUUAUUCAAAUAUGUGGAAUUUGAAUUCCUGCAGCUAUAAAAAUUUUAAAUCAACUGCGAGUACCGAAUUCUUCAUCCCUAUUUUUCAAUCCAACUCAAAUCACUCGGAAGUUUCGUCACGUGGCUGAUGAUUUCUCGAGUCAGAGACCAACGUCCAGCUGAAAUAACCUCGAACAUGCGAGUGAAAAAAAAGCGUGUAGAAGGGUACAACGGUCGGAGUUCUUCAAACUGCAGUGAUAACAAUCCCAUGUUACGACAGCGAAUAGCGGAGAAG
rnacentral:misc_RNA from 1 species